GCUGGGCGUGGUGGUGCGCGCCUGUAAUCCCAGCUACUCGGGAGGCUGAGACAGGAGAAUUGCUUGAAACUGGGAGAUUGAGGUUGCAGUGAGCUGAGAUCGGGCCACUGCACUCCAGCCUGAGUGACAGAGCGAAACUCUGUCUCAA
rnacentral:SRP_RNA from 1 species